AUGGAAAAGAAAUGCAAAAAAGCAAAAUGGCUGUCUGGGGAGGCCUUACAAAUAGCCGUGAAAAGAAGAGAGGCGAAAAACAAAGGAGAAAAGGAAAGAUAUAAGCGUCUGAAUGCAGAGUUCCAAAGAAUAGCAAGAAGAGAUAAGAAAGCUUUCUUCAGCGAUCAAUGCAAAGAAAUAGAGGAAAAUAACAGAAUGGGAAAGACUAGAGAUCUCUUCAAGAAAAUUAGAGAUACCAAGGGAAAGUUUCAUGCAAAGAUGGGCUUGAUAAAGGACAGAAAUGGGAGGGACCUAAGAGAAGCAGAAGAUAUUAAGAAGAGGUGGCAAGAAUACACAGAAGAACUGUACAAAAAAGAUCUUCACGACCCAGAUAAUCAUGAUGAUGUGAUCACUAAUCUAGACCCAGACAUCUUGGAAUGUGAAGUCAAGCGGGCCUUAGAAAGCAUCAUUACGAACAAAGCUAGUGGAGGUGAUGGAAUUCCAAUUGAGCUGUUUCAAAUCCUGAAAGAUGAUGCUGUGAAAGUGCUGCACUCAAUAUGUCAGCAAAUUUGGAAAACUCAGCAGUGGCCACAGGACUGGAAAAGGUCAGUUUUCAUUCCAAUCCCAAAGAAAGGCAAUGCCAAAGAAUGCUCAAACUACCGCACAAUUGCACUCAUCUCACAUGCUAGUAAAGUAAUGCUCAAAAUUCUCCAAGCCAGGCUUCAGCAAUACGUGAACCGUGAACUCCCUGAUGUUCAUGCUGGUUUUAGAAAAGGCAGAGGAACCAGAGAUCAAAUUGCCAACAUCCACUGGAUCAUGGAAAAAGCAAGAGAGUUUCAGAAAAACAUCUAUUUCUGCUUUGUUGACUAUGCCAAAGCCUUUGACUGUGUGGAUCACAAGAAACUAUGGAAAAUUCUGAAAGAGAUGGGAAUACCAGACCACCUGACCUGCCUCUUGAGAAAUCUGUAUGCCGGUCAGGAAGCAACAGUUAGAACUGGACAUGGAACAACAGACUGGUUCCAAAUAGGAAAAGGAGUGCAUCAAGGCUGUAUAUGGUCACCCUGCUUAUUUAACUUCUGUGCAGAGUACAUCAUGAGAAACGCUGGGCUGGAAGAAACACAAGCUGGAAUCAAGAUUGCCGGGAGAAAUAUCAAUCACCUCAGAUCUGCAGAUGACACCACCCUUAUGGCAGAAAGUGAAGAGGAGCUAAAAAGCCUCUUGACAAAAGUCAAAGAGGAGAGCGAAAAAGUUGGCUUAAAGCUCAACAUUCAGAAAACGAAGAUCAUGGCAUCCGGUCCCAUCACUUCAUGGGAAAUAGAUGGGGAAACAGUGGAAACAGUGUUAGACUUUAUUUUGGGGGGCCCCAAAAUCACUGCAGAUGGUGACUGCAGCCAUGAAUUUAAAAGACGCUUACUCUGUGGAAGAAAAGUUAUGACCAACCUAGAUAGCAUAUUCAAAAGCAAAGACAUUACUUUGCCGACUAAGGUCCAUCUAGUCAAGGCUAUGGUUUUUCCAGUGGUCAUGUAUGGAUGUGAGAGUUGGACUCUGAAGAAGGCUGAGCACCGAAGAAUUGAUCCUUUUGAACUGUGGUGUUGGAGAAGACUCUUGAGAGUCCCUUGGACUGCAAGGAGAUCCAACCAGUCCAUUUUGAAAGAGAUCAGCCCUGGGAUUUCUUUGGAAGGAAUGAUGCUAAAGCUGAAACUCCAGUACUUUGGCCACCUCAUUCGAAGAGUUGACUCAUUGGAAAAGACUCUGAUGCUGGGAGAGAUUGGGGGCAGGAGGAGAAGGGGACGACCGAGGAUGAGAUGA
rnacentral:lncRNA from 1 species